rnacentral:snRNA from 1 species
GUGCUUGACUGGGCAGCACAUAUUGUAAUGAAAAUUGGAACAACUUGGUGGAGAUUAUGGCCCUGCACAAGAAUGACAUGCAAUUCAUCAAGAGUUCCCUGUUUUU